ensembl:lncRNA
CUGCACUAGAAGAAGUAGUGUCAGUGGUGAAGAGGCAGCGUACGGCCUGCGCACCGGAGAGAACUUAUUGUCUCAUUUUUCUGUUUUUACAGGCCGCAGCUGACCAUUGAAACAGCAGACUAGAUGGCAGUUUGAUCCCAAACAUGGAUGCAUUUCACUGGUGAACAGCUCUGUGUGGCGACGGCGUCUCAUCAAUUUCUGUUAUAACAUUUCCAUCCGCGGCAGCAUAACUGUCCUGUCUCAUUGCCGGAGGGCACGAAGCCUCUCCGCUUGAUGCCAUCUUUCCCAGAGAGUCUGUGUCAGCCCCUGGACCAUAUGGAAAUGAUGAGUUAUUGUGAAAAACAAUGAAGUAAAGUUUAAUUGAGC